AAGUGUUUGUCUUUCACGACUGCAUGAUCCAUCGACUGACGACGGAUUUAUGGGACUUCUGGACAACAUGCUCGAGCUAGUCGGCAAAUCUUCACCAUGACAAGUCUAUCUCUUGUAAGUCACAUCUAUACCGUGUUCGUAUAAAUGAUUCUGAAUGUCCGAUAAGGUACACCAAAAUAAAUUCCUACAUCGACGACAUGGACAACGAGCUUUUCCAUCUUCUCUAGUAUGAUUGGACAUCACAUUCAUAAAAGUCGUCACACCCGUAAUAUACUCGGGACAGAACUUAUCACGCAAUGACAUCCAACCACGAUCCAUACCUACAUAUUUAUGAUGCAAACUAUACAAUCAAUUUUAUGUAAUAAUAGUUGACUAACGCCUUAUAUCUCCUACCUAUAGGGUGAUGGUCCUAUUCCAUUCAGGAACGUAAGAAUUUAAUAUCGCAAUAUAUGUCUUGUAUAUCAAAAAAAUUUCGACAGC
rnacentral:lncRNA from 1 species